ACGGAUGUAGCUUAAUAGGUAGAGCAUCGGUCUCCAAAAUCGAAGGUUGUAAGUUCAAAUCUUACCAUCCGUG
rnacentral:tRNA from 1 species